GUCCCGUAUACGCUCCAUGAGUGUUUUUCGGGGAAUCCAGUAUUUUUCUAGUAAGAUUGGAUAUUUCUACUUUCUAUAUAUACCAAAAUUACCAUACUUUUAUUGGAAAUAAUCACCCGAUAAAUACUUUUCUGGGACCCAUCUUUAAACCGUUUCUAUGUCGACUGCAGUUUUGUGGAGAGUAGGCUUGUGAACUAAAAGUUAACUCUGGUAAAGACGGCACUGGAAACUGAUGAAUUAUCAAGGGAACUGCACAGGUCUAAAAUAAAGGAUUAACCCCUGAUUAUUAAUAUUCCUGUUGUAUGUGAGGUUCUGUUUAUUAGACCUGGUUCAGCUGCGCCAUUUGCACCAUGGUAAAUCCGACACUAGAAAAAAACAACAUUUUCUUUGAUUGCAUCGACCAUCAUCUGAGGGACCUGACUUGGAACCAGAAGUUCUUAGUCUCUCAUAGUUGGACAAAAGAGAAAUGGUCCCAACUUACUGAAAAUCGAGAUCAGACUGGUGUAAAGUUCUGUAUAUCACCCUAACCAAACUAUAAUAAAGAUAUAUA